UACGGGGGGGGCAAGCGUUGUUCGGAAUUACUGGGCGUAAAGCGUGCGCAGGCGGUUUGUUAAGCCAGAUGUGAAAGCCCCGGGCUCAACCUGGGAACUGCGUUUGGUACUGGCAAGCUAGAGUACGGCAGAGGGGGGUGGAAUUCCACGUGUAGCAGUGAAAUGCGUAGAGAUGUGGAGGAACACCGAUGGCGAAGGCAGCCCCCUGGGUUAACACUGACGCUCAGGCACGAAAGCGUGGGGAGCAAACAGG
rnacentral:rRNA from 1 species